rnacentral:misc_RNA from 1 species
CGCAUAUUGCGCUCUCUGGCAUUCCAGAGAGCAUGCCUGUUUGAGCGUCAUUUCUCUCUCAAGAUCCUCUAGGGGACUUGGUAUUGAGUGAUACUCUGUGUUAACUUGAAAUACUCUAGGCAGAGCUCCCCCUAGAAAUCCUCUGGGCCGAAAUAAUGUAUUAGGUUCUACCAACUCGUUAUUUUCCAGACAGACUUCCAGGCAGAGCUCGGCUGAACAACCUUUCUAAGCUUGACCUCAAAUCAGGUAGGACUACCCGCUGAACUUAA